UACGGAGGGUGCGAGCGUUGUUCGGAAUCACUGGGCGUAAAGGGCGUGUAGGCGGUCCGCUAAGUCUGAUGUGAAAGCCCGGGGCUCACCCCCGGAAGUGCAUUGGAAACUGGCGGACUCGAGUCCCGGAGAGGCGAGUGGAAUUCCUGGUGUAGCGGUGGAAUGCGCAGAUAUCAGGAGGAACACCAAUAGCGAAGGCAGCUCGCUGGGACGGUACUGACGCUAAGGCGCGAAAGCGUGGGGAGCGAACAGG
rnacentral:rRNA from 1 species